rnacentral:rRNA from 1 species
AGUGAACGCUGGCGGUAGGCCUAACACAUGCAAGUCGAACGGCAGCACAGUAAGAGCUUGCUCUUACGGGUGGCGAGUGGCGGACGGGUGAGGAAUACAUCGGAAUCUACUUUUUCGUGGGGGAUAACGUAGGGAAACUUACGCUAAUACCGCAUACGACCUACGGGUGAAAGCAGGGGAUCUUCGGACCUUGCGCGAUUGAAUGAGCGGAUGUCGGAUUAGCUAGUUGGCGGGGUAAAGGCCCACCAAGGCGACGAUCCGUAGCUGGUCUGAGAGGAUGAUCAGCCACACUGGAACUGAGACACGGUCCAGACUCCUACGGGAGGCAGCAGUGGGGAAUAUUGGACAAUGGGCGCAAGCCUGAUCCAGCCAUACCGCGUGGGUGAAGAAGGCCUUCGGGUUGUAAAGCCCUUUUGUUGGGAAAGAAAAGCAGCAGGUUAAUACCCCGCUGUUCUGACGGUACCCAAAGAAUAAGCACCGGCUAACUUCGUG